rnacentral:rRNA from 1 species
UACGUAGGGGGCAAGCGUUGUCCGGAAUCAUUGGGCGUAAAGAGCGCGUAGGCGGCCCGGUAAGUCCGCUGUGAAAGUCAAGGGCUUAACCCUUGAAUGCCGGUGGAAACUGCCGGGCUAGAGUCCGGAAGAGGCGAGUGGAAUUCCUGGUGUAGCGGUGAAAUGCGUAGAUAUCUGGAGGAACACCGGUGGCGAAGGCGGCAUUCUGGACCGAUAUUGACGCUGAGGAGCGAAAGCCAGGGGAGCAAACGG